GAUGAACGCUAGCGGCAGGCUUAAUACAUGCAAGUCGAACGGUAACAGGCCUGGCAACAGGCGCUGACGAGUGGCGCACGGGUGCGUAACACGUAUGCAACCUACCCUGUACUGGGGGAUAACCCUGAGAAAUCGGGGCUAAUACCCCAUGGUAAUAUAGAUGGGCAUCCAUUUAUAUUUAAAGAUUCAUUGGUACGGGAUGGGCAUGCGCCCCAUUAGUUAGUUGGUGAGGUAACGGCUCACCAAGGCAUUGAUGGGUAGGGGUUCUGAGAGGAUUACCCCCCACACUGGUACUGAGACACGGACCAGACUCCUACGGGAGGCAGCAGUAAGGAAUAUUGGGCAAUGGAGGCAACUCUGACCCAGCCAUGCCGCGUGCAGGAAGACUGCCCUAUGGGUUGUAAACUGCUUUUUCAGGGGACUAACCGUGGUUACGUGUAACCAUCUGCAUGUACCCUGAGAAUAAGCAUCGGCUAACUCCGUGCCAGCAGCCGCGGUAAUACGGAGGAUGCGAGCGUUAUCCGGAUUUAUUGGGUUUAAAGGGUGCGUAGGCUGACAUGUAAGUCAGUGGUGAAAGACCCCGGCUUAACCGGGGGGUUGCCAUUGAAACUGUAUGUCUUGAGUGUAAUCGAAGUGGGCGGAAUGAGGGGUGUAGCGGUGAAAUGCAUAGAUAUUCCUCAGAACACCGAUAGCGAAGGCAGCUCACUAGCUUACAACUGACGCUGAGGCACGAAAGCGUGGGUAUCAAACAGGAUUAGAUACCCUGGUAGUCCACGCUGUAAACGAUGAUCACUAGCUGUUUGCGAUACACAGUAAGCGGCUAAGCGAAAGCGAUAAGUGAUCCACCUGGGGAGUACGUCGGCAACGAUGAAACUCAAAGGAAUUGACGGGGGCCCGCACAAGCGGAGGAGCAUGUGGUUUAAUUCGAUGAUACGCGAGGAACCUUACCUGGGCUUGAACGUAUGGUGCAUGGGUGUGAAAGCAUCCUUUCUUCGGACUCCAUACGAGGUGCUGCAUGGCUGUCGUCAGCUC
rnacentral:rRNA from 2 species